UAUAUCUCAUGUGUAGAUUGGGUAAGUGAAUAUAUAUGGAUGCGACGGGAAGCACGGUAAUGGGUUUAUAGGUGCUUUGUUUAAGGUCUCGGUGCUGCCCGGGAGACCUCCAAUGCCGGAAGAGCACUUCUUCUAGCACAUGGUCUUCAAGGGAGUUAUGAAGCGAUUGGAGAGAGAGCUCGAGGAGGAUAUCAAGAACAUGAGGGGUCGCUGCUGGUAAUUUACGAUUUGUAGUUCAUAAAGCUCUACUAAGGAUUGAAGCCUGGAACCCAUGUAUUUCCCAGCUUUGGAUGUUAUUGAUUGUUCUGAAUGGAUUGUCCCCUUCAAUGUAUCCAAGACAAGAGAGUGAGACUAAAGGGAUUGGGUAAAACGAGUUGGGGAGGCGGAAGUAGAACCUACAUGAAGCAAAACAAGAAGAGGUUCUGGUUCCAUCAACACCUAAAUCUUUGAAAAGUCCCUGAAGUUUUGUCACUCCAUGAUAUCGAUUGAGGGUGCAAGCUGUCGUUUCAUGUUGUUAACACAGAUACGUGUUUAUUGACGUGAUAGCUGCUACUUUUUUCUGGUAUGCACAAUUGCACAUGUUUAAUGAUUACUAAUAUUGGGUCAAAUAGGUGAUGUGUAAGGAUAGAUGCUAGCAUUGUUGAUAGGGAAAAGUGUGAUGAUAGUGUUGUUUUUUCAGCAGGCUUGAGGACCAUGGUGCAGCCAAACAGCCAAGGAAGGGCUG